rnacentral:lncRNA from 1 species
UCAAAUUUGAAAGUUUGGAAGCGUCAAAGGAAUUUGGGGUUUUACCUGCAAUUCACGAUGCUUGGUUUUUUGAAAUCAAAAGUGUCUUCAGCAGCUGCAGAUGAAAAGGAAGACAGUAAGAUUUCAGAAGUAAUUGCAAAUCACAGCAACAGAAACUGAAAUAACAUUUUGGUAAAGAGAUGGCUAUGGGAGUUUCGGAAUUUACCUGGGAUUGCAGAGCUGAGCUGCAUCGGUUAAGGUAGCAGCGGAAUCAGUCAGCGGUGAGGAUGAAUUAACAUCAAUCUAUCAUCGGAAAUGAGAGGAUCUAGAAAUAGUCGACGAUUUCUGGGUUUUGACAUGCUCCGGUGAAAAAGUUGAGAUGUUGGGUCGGUGAUGGUUAAAUCAGCGACAGCAGAUGCUAUCGUCGGUAAAGACGACAGUGGAGAUGAACGCCGGUAGCGACGAAACGGCGGUUAAGCUGGAAUCGUGGUGCUUCAUUUGCAGAGACGGUGGUGAGAUUCAUCGGCUUGUUUAAAGCCAUGAAUCGUGACGAUGGCGAGCUUCAAGGACGACGGUGAAGUCGGAGAAGGAGCAGCGCCGGAGAAGGUCCACUAGAACGGUGACAUGACGGAGAGGCGACGGAGGAUUUCGUCUCAGGCAGAUGUCGUAGUUUUUG